rnacentral:rRNA from 1 species
UACGUAGGGGGCAAGCGUUGUCCGGAAUCAUUGGGCGUAAAGAGCGCGUAGGCGGCCCGAUAAGUCCGCUGUGAAAGUCAAGGGCUCAACCCUUGAAUGCCGGUGGAUACUGUCGGGCUAGAGUCCGGAAGAGGCGAGUGGAAUUCCUGGUGUAGCGGUGAAAUGCGCAGAUAUCAGGAGGAACACCAAUUGCGAAGGCAGCUCGCUGGGACGUGACUGACGCUGAGACGCGAAAGCGUGGGGAGCAAACAGG